UACGUAGGGGGCUAGCGUUGUCCGGAAUCAUUGGGCGUAAAGAGCGCGUAGGCGGCCAGAUAAGUCCGGUGUGAAAGUCACAGGCUCAACCUGUGAAUGCCGCUGGAAACUGUCUGGCUAGAGUCCGGGAGGGGCGAGUGGAAUUCCUGGUGUAGCGGUGAAAUGCGCAGAUAUCAGGAGGAACACCGGUGGCGAAGGCGGAUCUCUGGGCCUUACCUGACGCUCGAGGCGCGAAAGCUAGGGGAGCGAACAGG
rnacentral:rRNA from 1 species